rnacentral:rRNA from 1 species
GGUUUUUGGAUUGUUAAACUCUUUUAUUAGGGAAGAACAAGUACCGUUUGAAUAGGGCGGUAUCUUGACGGUACCUAACGAGAAAGCCACGGCUAACUACGUGCCAGCAGCCGCGGUAAUACGUAGGUGGCGAGCGUUGUCCGGAAUUAUUGGGCGUAAAGCGCGCGCAGGCGGUUUCUUAAGUCUGAUGUGAAAGCCCCCGGCUCAACCGGGGAGGGUCAUUGGAAACUGGGGAACUUUGAGUGAAGGAGAGGAGAGUGGAAUUCCACGUGUAGCGGUUAUUUUUUUUGAAGUUUUGGAGGAACACCAGUGGCGAUGGCGACUCUCUGGUCUGAAACUGACGCGGAGGCUUACCGUACCCAUUC